rnacentral:rRNA from 1 species
GAUGAACGCUGGCGGCGUGCCUAAUACAUGCAAGUCGAGCGAACGGACGAGAAGCUUGCUUUUCUGAUGUUAGCGGCGGACGGGUGAGUAACACGUGGAUAACCUACCUAUAAGACUGGGAUAACUUCGGGAAACCGGAGCUAAUACCGGAUAAUAUUUUGAACCGCAUGGUUCAAAAGUGAAAGACUGUCUUGCUGUCACUUAUAGAUGGAUCCGCGCUGCAUUAGCUAGUUGGUAAGGUAACGGCUUACCAAGGCAACGAUGCAUAGCCGACCUGAGAGGGGGAUCGGCCACACUGGAACUGAGACACGGUCCAGACUCCGACGGGAGGCAGAAGUAGGGAAUCUUCCGCAAUGGGCGAAAGCCUGACGGAGCAACGCAGCGUGAGUGAAGAAGGUCUGCGGAUCGUAAAACUCUGUUAUUAGGGAAGAACAGAUGUGUAAGUAACGGUGCACAUCUGGACGGGACCGAAGAAGAAAGCCACGGCGAACUACGU